GAACUGGAAUAAACAAUUGAUUAGAGUACAUACAGAGAGCAUAACUGUGGCCCUCCUCUUCUUCUGCACUACAGUUCCCCAGAGCUUCAGCAAGAAGGGCCAAUGGUGAAGAAUCCUGGCAUGCAGUUCUACAGUAUCUGGAGAGAAACUGACUCUUGUACCCUCGGGGAGACUAAAAACGGGCUAUGCACAGAUUACAAGCACAACUCUCAUAUUUCAGAAACUGAAUUGCACCUGAUUGUCUGGCCAUGGAAGGUGGCUCUAUAGUACAAAAGAAGACUGGUUCUGGAAUCUCAAUGCCAGCUAACAGGAGGUUCUGUACUUCACUAGCUUGACCUCGUGCUGAUCCCACAUUUCUUCCAGCUUGACAAGCUGCAGCCACCGCAGAAGCUUUUGAAGAAACAAUGGUGUCGCCAGUGGCACUCUAACGCAAGCCAAAUAACAAUGACAUAGUGGAUUACCAGUGCACAAUUGGUUUUCAUCACUAAAAAGCACUGAACAUUAUUUGGCUAUUGUCUUUCCCAGUUAAAAGACAAGCACUUCUCAUACAGCAGUACCAAGAGCAAUUCCUUUGUUUUGCACUGCCCGCAGCUAUAAUUAU